rnacentral:lncRNA from 1 species
UAUGGAAGUUCUCAGGCUAGGAGUCAAAUCAGAGGUGCAGCUGAGGCCUAUGCCACAGCGAUAACAAUACCAGAUCUGAGCUCAUCUCUGACCUACACCAAAGCUUGCAAGAAUGCCAGAUCUUUAUCCACUGAGUAGGCCAGGGAUUGAGCCCGCAUCCUCAUAGACGCUAUGUUGGGUUCUUAACCUGCUGAGCCACAGCAGGAACUCCUAGACAAGUUUUCUUAAUGUGCAAGCGUUUUCACAUUGAUUCUACACAAGACGUUUUGAUAUCGGACCACAGCAGAACAUGAUAGGAAGCAAUGAGCUGGGUUCACAAACUCUCCAUGUAACAAUCUCAGGCCCUUCAUUCUUAGUGGGAAACAACGCAGGGCCGAAACUCACAGCUGUUUUCUUACAUUUAACAAAGUCAUAAAGCAGAUUACAGCUCUGUUACCACUUUGUCCCUCUCACUUCCAAACACCCCUUUUUUUCUCAAUAAGCACAAAUUAUUUUUCUUUUCUUAAAUGAGUAAACCGAGGCCAAGAAAUUUAGUCAAGGACUGUUACUUGUCCAGGAUGGAAGCAUAUUGUUUCCUCAGGCUGCUCUAUCCCCGCCCAGGGCGCCAGGCUGCCACGUAUUGUCUUAUUGACUAAAAUCCUCCUGUAGGAUCUUUUGAAACCCAUUAGUUUUUAAAUGCAAAGGUUUGUAACACAAACAAGUUAAGUAUAUAAAAUGUAACCAUUCUUUUCUCUGUGUCUGCCACCACCAUUUUCCUCCAAGUUUAUAGUCUCCUGAAUCCCAUUAAAUCAUCAAGUUACCUUUGGAGAAAGGACUUCCUCUAGAACCAUAGCUCCAUAGAGUCGUCUCUCCUUCUGGAUCUUUCUCUGUGGAUAUAUAUGAGGCCAGGGAGCUCACCUGACCUCUUUAUAGUGAACUGUCUUUUUCCUGAUUAAGGGAAGGCAGGCACUGAGUUGCAGGAGAGGGAGCCUGCAUUCAGGUGUUGCUCUAGUGUAACAAUUACUGUCCACUUGCUUCAGUGGUAAGUUAACACAUUCACUUAGUAAACAAAUCAAUCAUUCAGAUAGGCAGCCAGUAUCAGUCGGAGGCCCCUCCUUGUGUUUGCCGGUGUUAGUGGUUUCUGGUAUGUACGUACAGACCUGUGUCUGCACAUAUACAUUUACAGUGCAUAUGCUGGUCUAAAACGUAUAAUAUUGUUGCAUAUGUUUUUACUGUACAUGCAUUGAAUUCAGGGUUCUUACACUCCAUAAUGCGCAAGAUCUUUCCACAUCAGUUUACUUAGAUCCGUCCUGUUCAUCUUCGCUGCCGUCUAGGAAUUUCUGAAAUUUCUCGUGUUUUCUCUGGAUUUCCGUUCCUCUAAUGAAAGUCUCCAUCUUGUCAUCUAUAUUUUUGAACACGUGAUGCAUUGUUAUUUUUGUCUAAUAAGUGAUUCUCCCGUAUAUCCAUUUCUACUUUCUUAUUUUUUUCUGUCAGUUUUAAAUAAUUUAAACUCAAAUCCUAAUAUGCCUUUAACUCUUUAAUGAAUGCUAGUUUUUGUACGAGAAAAAGCAUUGAAACAAUGUGUGCCUCUGAAGAAUAACAGCUCUCUCCAGGGAGAACUGUGGCUUAUUCUAAUGAGGGAUCGAACUUAGAGCUGUGUUGCUGCUGAAGGCUUGUCUGUUUUGAUGCAUCACUAUUCCUGCUGUGUAAUUGGUCACAGUGUGUUACAUACAUUAGUCCUCCAAGGCAGAUGUCCGAGUAUCUUCAAAUGGUUUUAAAACACUUAAAAGAUGUCUAUGUCAUCUGUAAAUAAAAUAAAUAGAAAAGAAUAUCAGAAUCUUGUACCACUGGCAAAGAUAAAAAUGUUGGCAUAUUUUAAGACUAUAAAUUGUACAUUAUCUUUUUUUUUUUUUUUUUUUUGUCUUUUUGCUAUUUCUUGGGCCGCUCUCUCGGCAUAUGGAGGUUCCCAGGCUAGGGGUCCAAUCGGAGCUGUAGCCACCGGCCUACGCCAGAGCCACAGCAACGCGGGAUCCGAGCCGCGUCUGCAACCUACACCACAGCUCACGGCAACGCCGGAUCGUCAACCCACUGAGCAAGGGCAGGGACCGAACCUGCAACCUCAUGGUUCCUAGUCGGAUUUGUUAACCACUGCGCCACCAUGGGAACUCCUGUACAUUAUCUUUGUAAGUAAUUUAGUAAUACUUAUCAAGUUUUGAAAGGCUCACCCAUUUUAAUCCACUAUUUUCUUUUUCAAAAAUGUAUCUUAAUUAUAUACUCUUACAAAUAUGAUCUAUUAUAAAAGUAAAAAUGAGUUUCAGUACUGUGUAUAGUAGCAGAUUUCUCCAAAUUAUCUGGAUGUCCAUUACUAAUGGAUUAACAACAAUUUAAUGAAGUUUUGCGAAUUCAUGGAAGAGAAGAAUACACAACUAUUAAAAUGAGAUAAAAAUACCUAGAUGGAAUUAUAAAUAAAAACAGCAGUCUUGGAGUUUCCAUCAUGGCUCAGCAGAAACGACUCUGACUAGCAUCCAUGAGGAUGCAGGUUUGAUCCCUGGCCUCACUAAGGAUAUGGCGUUGCUGUGAGCUGGGGUUUUGAACUGUGGUGUAGGUCACAGACACGACUUGGAUCCCACGUUGCUGUGGCAGUGGUGUAGGCCAACAGCUACAACUCCGAAUCGACUCCUAGCCUGAGAACCUCCAUACGCCAUGGGUGCGGCCCUAAAAAGACCAAAAAACAAAAGCAAAAAAAAAGCAAUCCUCAAAAUAUAUUCAGUCUUCAUAGUAUAUUAAGUAAAAGGAAAAAAUGUCAAGAAAGUAUAUUGAACAUGCCAUGACUUUCGGUUAAAAUGGCAGAUUAAUACGCGAGCGUGUAUGUUUGUACAUGUUUAACUGAACUAGUGGUUAACUCAAUGACAAGAAUGCUGAAGGGAAGUAGAAAUCGGGAAUUAGGGAUCAAGAAUCAUCUCACUUUUCACUGGAUUUAUUUCCCAUGCCACUCUCAGUAUUUGCUGCCUAGUUUACAAUUCAGAUUUAUUUGAUUAAACUAGGAUAAUUUGCCCCCAAUACUGAGGUGGGUGCAAUCUAAUCGCUGGGCCUGCAGAAGUGGCUAAGGACUCAGUUCCUGAUUUUUCACCUUCAUUGUCCCUUUAAGUGUUACACCUGUUUGUGUGAUAAUAUGUGAGAUCAGUGCUCUGUAGAUUCACCUGCGUCUGGGCCACCUGUAUUUAAGUGAAGAUGAUCAACGUAUGACUUAACAUCAACUAAGGCUGGUUCCCGCUUGAGAGGUCUAUUGAAUUAUUUCCUGACUUUUGAACACAGAGCAAUCAGUAUUUUAAUUUUCUGGUGCUAGAUGAAUUUUCUGGUGCUAAUUUUCAGGCAUUUCCUUUGAUUCAUUCAAAAAGCUCACACAAAUCCGCAUAGAAUGGUGUCGUAAGACUGAAUUUAUCCUUCUUGGCCUUCUGAAGAACAAGUUUUUGUACCAUCCAAACAGUUGUCACCGUGGACACAGUUGUCAAUGUUAAUAUGCAGUGGCUACCUAGAGAACAGAGUCCACAGCACUUUCCAGUGGAAUUUAGCAUUCUGAAGUGCUAAUGAAGAGAUUGGUAUUUGUGUUAUUCAUCAAAAAUCAAAAUCAGUUUUUUACGAUUUUGGAUCAAAAAUUUGGAUCAAGAUUUUGAUAUGAAACCAGGUAUCUUCAAAGGCUAAUAUUUAAGACAUGAAACAUUCUAUGAUCUUUUAUAUGGCAAAAUUAUUUUUGCCAAGUAUCUGAAAAGGAAUCUAAGUACCCUGCUGUGUGACUGAGUGACUCUCUAAUAAUUAGUUCUAAUAAUUAGUAGCUGUGUAAUAGAUAAUAGGAGCCCCAAACUGAAAGAUUCAAAAAGAGCAUAUCUUAGUACUUCAUGUUAUCACAGCCUGGGUAGACAAUUUAAAUAUUAUGAAAUAUAGUUGGCAGUAUCUUACAGUUAAAAAAGAUAAACACUUUGAAAAAGAUAAACCCUUUGGGAAGUUCCCAUUGCAGCUCCGCGGGUGAAAAACCUGAUCAGUGUCCAUGAGGAUGUGAAUUCAAGCCCUGGCCUCACUCAUUGGGUUAAGGAUCCAGCAUUUCAGUGAGCUGCCGCGUAGGUCGCAGAUGCAGCUUAGAUCCCUCAUUGCUGUGGCUGUGGCUUAGUCUGGCAGUUGCAGUUCUGCUUCUCCCCCUAGCCUGGGAACUUCCGUAUGCCACGGGUGAGGCCCUAGAAAGACACACACACACACACACACACACACACACACAGAUAUUUUUGUCCUUUUGUCUUUGAAUUAUGUGUUACCACAGUUAUGAAACCAGCACUGACAGCAUUAAGAAGACUUAGUUUACCAUUUCCAAGGUUACAAAAGGAAAAUCCAUAUAGGGUGAAUAUUUAUGAGAUUCCUGGUCCAAUCUAGUGGAGAAGAAGGUAGCUCCUUAAAUAAUGUAGCCAGUUAUUCUCUGACUUAAUAUUCUGAUUUUAAGACAGGUGCAUGGCAGAAACUAGGGACAAAGGCACAUGUUAGCCAUCACAUGGAAUAAGGCAUAUUAAACCCUAAAAUCAUUAAUCUAGAAAUUAAAUUUCCCUUAGAAGUCAAUCAACUAGUUAAAAAAAAAGUCAAUCAUCUGAUUUAUACCUCACUUUGGCAUAUGGCUUUAUUUUAGUCAGACAUAUGAUAUAUUCUUUGUUUUCAUUUUCACUCCUAAGAAAAUAUGUUUUACAAGCAAAAACAAUUGUUUUUUAUUAAAAUAUAACUGACUUACAAUCUUAUAUUAGUUUCAGGUGUACUACGUAGGGAGUUGGUGUUUUAAACAUUAUAAAAUCAUCACCAGCAUCAGUCUAGUUACCGCCCGUCACCAUACAGCUAUUACAAUCUUAUUGCCUGUAGCCCCUGUGUUGUUCAUUCCAUCCCCAUGAGUUAUUUUAUAACUGGAAGUUUGUACCUCUCAAUCUCUCGUCUGUUUUUAAGGAGAAAAAUCCAGCUCAAUGACAAUACCUAAACAUCCAGUCUCGUAUGGGCCAGGCAAUGCUUCCCUCGUAUAUAUUUGUUGAAUAAAUAGAAGAAAAUGAGGCAGCCUCAGAGAUGCCUAACAUCAGUAUCACGGAACUAAUUCGUUGUAAACAUAUAAAGUCUAAAUUCUAUUCCUUAUGAAGAAGUUACGAUCACAGGAAUGCUGAGUAUCUUGUCCAAGAAUCUCUGCUGUUUUCAGAAGUUGCACAGUGGAGCUGUGCUGUGGAACAGAGAGAGGUGGUCUCCGGAUUUGUUAUGGCUAAUCAGGGAAACCUCGAAGGACCUAUUCAGAGGACCUCAUAACAAGGUCAGCUGGACAAAAAGCCCUUCCUAAAAUCACAAUGGUCUUAAAAUCAGUUAGCAAACAAACAGAAGCCUUCAAACAAUAUUAAUAUGGCCUAAAGGUUCAAUUUGAUGGAACUGUCUAAGAAGAAAUCAUCCUUGUCAGACGAAGAUACUUCUAUUCCCUUUGAGACUCUCUUGAUUAAAACAAAUUUUAUUUCAUUUGAUAAUAUCUAAUUUUAGUAAUUAAUGAAUCUGACGCUUGGGACCAUUUCUUCUAUCGGACUUAAACAGAGUAAGCUAAUAAGUAAUUAGUUCAUCCAAGAGCCUUGUAAGGUGUAAUCCCCGGGUUCCUUCCAGAUUCUCUUUGUUCUGCGUGUAUCACUAAUUGUUUUAAGUGAUUUUUAAUUUUGUGAAACAUUUCCCAAUUAAAGUUAGAUAAGUAAAUACAAGGAUGUACUUUGUUUAAUAUUAUGUUUCUUGUCAGUGGAAGGAUAGGCUUUAAAUUCUUCUGAAGACAGCAUUUUUCUAAUCAACACAUUGUAUAAUUCUAGUUUGGGGAAAGAGAAUUUCCCAUUUAUUUUAUGACUUUGAAUUUUAUUUUCCAAAUGGCUUCCCUGUAAAUCCAGUUCAUGACUCAGCUCUUCAGUGAUGGGGUGAGUAGAAAGCCCUCUCUUUCCUUCUUCCUUUGCCGAUCCCCUAUCACCUCCCCACUUAUAUAGGGAUCUUACACAAUGAAUUAAUGCUUCUCUCUCCUUUCUCUUUAACCUCUUCCUCAUCAUUUGAUUCUUCCAACUUCCUAAUUGCCGGGCAUACUGCAAAAUAAAAAUGAGAGUUCCUCCUUCAAGAUGGGGAUGUAGAAAAAAUGUGGUGAAAGUAUUAAAAGAUGUAAAGCUUUUUCCCAUCUUCCAGUCUUGACCACUCAUGCUGCUUGCUCUUUAAUGUUGUUUCAAG